UACGGAGGGUGCAAGCGUUAUCCGGGUUCACUGGGUUUAAAGGGUGCGUAGGCGGAUUGGUAAGUCCGUGGUGAAAUCUCUAAGCUUAACUUGGAAACUGCCAUGGAUACUAUUAGUCUUGAAUAUUGUGGAGGUUAGCGGAAUAUGUCAUGUAGCGGUGAAAUGCAUAGAUAUGACAUAGAACACCAAUUGCGAAGGCAGCUGGCUACACAAAUAUUGACGCUGAUGCACGAAAGCGUGGGGAUCAAACAGG
rnacentral:rRNA from 1 species